CCCGCACAAGCGGUGGAUGAUGUGGAUUAAUUCGAUGCAACGCGAAAAACCUUACCUACCCUUGACAUGUCUGGAAUGCCGAAGAGAUUUGGCAGUGCUCGCAAGAGAACCGGAACACAGGUGCUGCAUGGCUGUCGUCAGCUCGUGUCGUGAGAUGUUGGGUUAAGUCCCGCAACGAGCGCAACCCUUGUCAUUAGUUGCUACGAAAGGGCACUCUAAUGAGACUGCCGGUGACAAACCGGAGGAAGGUGGGGAUGACGUCAAGUCCUCAUGGCCCUUAUGGGUAGGGCUUCACACGUCAUACAAUGGUCGGGACAGAGGGUCGCCAACCCGCGAGGGGGAGCCAAUCCCAGAAACCCGAUCGUAGUCCGGAUCGCAGUCUGCAACUCGACUGCGUGAAGUCGGAAUCGCUAGUAAUCGCGGAUCAGCAUGUCGCGGUGAAUACG
rnacentral:rRNA from 1 species